GGUUUCCUUCCGGUCAACGAGGUACAUGUACCUCAUCAACCGGAAGGAAACCCCUCCGAUUGAUGAGGUACAUCUACCUCAUCGACCGGAAGGAAACC
rnacentral:miRNA from 1 species